GCCAGGUGUGGUGGUGCACGCCUGUAAUCCCAGUGGCUCAGGAGGCUGAGGCAGGAGGGUUGCGAGUUCAAAGCCAGCUUCACCAAAAGCGAGGCGCUAAGCAACUCAGUGAGACCUUGUUUCUA
rnacentral:sRNA from 1 species